rnacentral:rRNA from 1 species
UGGGGAAUAUUGGGCAAUGGGCGAAAGCCUGACCCAGCAACGCCGCGUGAUAGAAGAAGGCCUUCGGGUUGUAAAUAUCUGUCCUAUGGGACGAAAAAAAUGACGGUACCAUAGGAGGAAGCCUCGGCUAACUACGUGCCAGCAGCCGCGGUAAUACGUAGGUGGCGAGCGUUAUCCGGAAUUAUUGGGCGUAAAGCGCGCGCAGGUGGGAUAGUAAGUCUUUUGUAAAAGUGCGGGGCUCAACCCCGUAAUGCGACGGAUACUGCUAUUCUUGAGUGCAGGAGAGGAAAGCGGAAUUCCCAGUGUAGCGGUGAAAUGCGUAGAUAUUGGGAAGAACACCGGUGGCGAAGGCGACUUGCUGGGCAGCAACUGACGCUGAGGCGCGAAAGCCAGGGGAGCAAACG